CGCGCCCGGGCCGCGCCCCUGUCACCACCCCGCUGACUCGUCUCGCGGCUGCCCGGCCCGCUGGGCAUCAGUUAGACCACGGUUAGGGGCGGGUCUUACCCCUUUCCUGCGGUCCGAGCGAAUCUCCCAAGAAGGUGGCCCACAUCUGCUGAAGCAAGAAAAGAGCUUCACGUAAGAUAGAGGCAGAGUGUCUACUUCCUAGCUCAUUCUAUGAGGCCAGACUUAACAGAUCCCUAGAAAUCUCCAAGGAGCCUUAGCCAAGCUUGGCCAAGUCUUGAAGUCAGGGAAGGUCUGCUCGGGGCUUCUGAAAGAUAUUUCUCCCUGAUAAAAACAGAGCAACAUGAACCUCCUUUCCUGGUUGCUUUUGGAUGUUGUUCUGUGAGAAAAUGAUAUAUGGAGCAGUAGUAACCACCUCGCAACCAUGAGAGGCAAGCCAAGAGAACCACAGAGAAACCAGCACAGUUUCCUGACAUUGAGCUGAUGAAUUAACCAGCCUUGGAACCAUCUAUCUUCAAACUUCAUCUUAUGUGAAAUAAUUAAACUCUUGUUUUAGCUACAUUUGGUUGAAUAUUCUAAAUGCAUCUUGAUACAGGUUUAUUAUUUAAAAUACACACACACACACGCACACACACAUAUAUUAGAGCUAUCAUUUUCUGAUAGAAAUUUGUUUUAAAACCUCACACAAUUGUUGCUUUUUCUCUCUGUAAUUCUGUCUUUUGUGUUAUGUAUGUUGAGGCUCUGUUAUAAGCAUACAUGUUCAUGAUUAUUUUAUCAUUUUGAUGGGUUGUUCCUUUUAUAAUUAUAAAAUGUUCUCCUUCCUAUUCUUUUUCUCCUUAUGACAUAGAACAUUGUAUAUUAGUUUUAGAUAUAUGACAUGAUGAUUUGAUGUGUGUGUAUAUAUUGUGAAAUGAUCACCACAAUGUUUACUUAACGUUCAUCACUUUACAUAGUUACAAUUAUUUUUCUUGUGAUGAGAACUUUUAAGAUCUAUACUCUUAGCAACUUUUAAAUAUAUGAUACAAUAUUGUUACCUUUAGUUACUGUGCAUACAUUACAUUCCCAGAACUUAUUUAUCUUAUAACUGGAGGUUUGUACCUUUUGACCACCUUUCCCCAUUCCAUGCACCUCCCACCCCUGCCUCUGACAACCCCAGUCUAUUCUCUAUAUCGAUGAGGUCAGUUUUCCUAGAUUUCACAUAUAAGUGAGAUCAUAUGGCAUCUGUCUUUCUCUGACUUAUUUCACUUAGCAUAAUGCUCUCAAGUUCCAUCCAUGUUGU